rnacentral:lncRNA from 1 species
GAAGAACUUGGCAAAGUGAUUUGAUCACACACUUCUCACCCUCACAUCUCCUGACAGUUCCCCUAAUCCCUGCCCCACUUCCCCGCCAUGGGCUUCCAUCAGGAAACUCCUUGAUAUCAUCUUCGUUACAGGAAUGCAGAUGUGAUUCCUAUGGAUGAGGGUAACCUAGAGGCUAGAAGAACAAUAGGACAGAAGAAGCCUGGGUCCCUGAACAACCUUGUGGAGCAUAGACACCUACGUGGCCUGGACUGCCAGCUCACAAUGGGCCUCUCUGUGAGAGAAGGAAACUUCCCUCUUGUUUAAGCAACUGUGCUUUUGAGAAUCUCUUGGUCUAUACCCUAAUGAAUAAGGCCAUCAUAAAUGGAUAUCAAAGUAAGGAAA